GUUUUGGUUCAACCCGCACCCAGCCUAACUUAUUAACAUCAGGUUGAAGCUCAACUACAGAGCAAGGGUAAUCAUUCUUUCGAUCUUGCUUGUUGGUCUUUUCAUGGAUAUCUCUUGGGUUGGGUAAGAUCUUAAUAAGAUAUGAACGUCGUAUAGUGAAUCAGUGGAUAGUUUAGCGAAAACUAUUGAUAAAGUUUUCUUUAAGCCUUAAGAACCAGGUCGCCGCUGGUCCUAUCAUACUUUCCACGACGAGUUGCCAAUAUCCGAAAUUUUUCUCUGUUGCGUUAAAGUGUGCUUGUCUCAUGGAUAUGUUGUCAUGUGAUCACUACAAUCUGUCUCGCAUGAAAAAGAUGAGAUCUUGAUUUUGUCCAAGUGUCGGAUCUUGAUUAUCUUUGUCGUGAACUGCGUCUUCUGUAUUUCAGCGAGAACAUGCUCUAUUUCUGGCACUGAACUUGUUCCUCGAUGAACCUUGGAUGAGAUAUUUUGUAUUGAAUUCCAAAUAAAAUCGAUUUCUUGGUUGGUUGGUUGGUUGACC